rnacentral:tRNA from 1 species
GCCUUAGUAGCUUAGCCUUAAAGCACCGGCCUUGUAAUCCGGAGAUCGGACAUUAAACAUCCCUACAGGCC